GCAAUAAAAUGGUGGCUGCGACUGUUUAAGCAAAAACAUAGCACUCUGCAAACUCGAAAGAGGACGUAUAGGGUGUGACGCCGUGCCCGGUGCUGGAAGGUUAAUUGAUGGGGGUUAUCUCACGAGAAGCUCUUGAUCGAAGCCCCAGUAAACGGCGGCCGUAACGAUAACGGUCCUAAGGUAGCGAAAUUCCUUGUCGGGUAAGUUCCGACCUGCACGAAUGGCGUAACGAUGGCCACACUGUCUCCAGCCGAGACUCAGUGAAAUUGAAAUUGCGGUGAAGAUGCCGUAUACCCGCGGCUAGACGGAAAGACCCCGUGAACCUUUACUAUAGCUUGACACUGGACUUUGAAUCGAUUUGUGUAGGAUAGGUGGGAGACAUUGAAGCCGGAAACGCCAGUUCUGGUGGAGUCGACCUUGAAAUACCACCCUGGUUUAUUUGAAGUUCUAACCUAGGUCCAUUAUCUGGAUUGGGGACAGUGUCUUGGUGGGUAGUUUGACUGGGGC
rnacentral:rRNA from 1 species